rnacentral:rRNA from 1 species
GACGAACGCUGGCGGCGUGCCUAAUACAUGCAAGUAGAACGCUGAAGGAGGAGCUUGCUUCUCUGGAUGAGUUGCGAACGGGUGGGUAACGCGUAGGUAACCUGCCUGGUAGCGGGGGAUAACUAUUGGAAACGAUAGCUAAUACCGCAUAAUAGUAGAUGUUGCAUGACAUUUGCUUAAAAGGUGCAAUUGCAUCACUACCAGAUGGACCUGCGUUGUAUUAGCUAGUUGGUGGGGUAACGGCUCACCAAGGCGACGAUACAUAGCCGACCUGAGAGGGUGAUCGGCCACACUGGGACUGAGACACGGCCCAGACUCCUACGGGAGGCAGCAGUAGGGAAUCUUCGGCAAUGGACGGAAGUCUGACCGAGCAACGCCGCGUGAGUGAAGAAGGUUUUCGGAUCGUAAAGCUCUGUUGUAAGAGAAGAACGAGUGUGAGAGUGGAAAGUUCACACUGUGACGGUAUCUUACCAGAAAGGGACGGCUAACUACGUG